GAUGAAGAACGCAGCGAAAUGCGAUAAGUAAUGCGAAUUGCAGAAUUUCCGUGAGUCAUCGAAUCUUUGAACGCACAUUGCGCCCACUGGUAUUCCGGUGGGCAUGCCUGUUCGAGCGUCAUUUGUACCUUCAAGCUUUGCUUGGUGUUGGGUGUUUGUCUCGCCUUUGCGUGUAGACUCGCCUUAAAAUAAUUGGCAGCCGGCGUAUUGAUUUCGGAGCGCAGUACAUCUCGCGCUUUGCACUCAUAACGACAGCGUCCAAAAGUACAUUUUACACUCUUGACCUCGGAUCAGGUAGGGAUACCCGCUGAACUUAAGCAUAUCAAUAAGCGGAGGA
rnacentral:misc_RNA from 1 species